GCAGGGGUGCCCGAGCUAGGUCCAAGGGGCGGGACUCAAGAUCCCGUGGCUAAAGGCCAUCGUGGGUUCAAAUCCCACCCCCUGCA
rnacentral:tRNA from 2 species